rnacentral:rRNA from 1 species
UUGCUGGGCNGAUCAGUGGCGAACGGGUGAGUAACACGUGAGUAACCUGCCCCAGACUCCGGGAUAAGCCUUGGAAACGAGGUCUAAUACUGGAUACGAGACGCCNCUGCAUGGGGAGUGUCUGGAAAGAUUUAUCGGUCUGGGAUGGACUCGCGGCCUAUCAGCUUGUUGGUGGGGUAAUGGCCUACCAAGGCGACGACGGGUAGCCGGCCUGAGAGGGCGACCGGCCACACUGGGACUGAGACACGGCCCAGACUCCUACGGGAGGCAGCAGUGGGGAAUAUUGCACAAUGGGCGAAAGCCUGAUGCAGCGACGCCGCGUGAGGGAUGAAGGCCUUCGGGUUGUAAACCUCUUUCAGCAGGGAAGAAGCGCAAGUGACGGUACCUGCAGAAGAAGCGCCGGCUAACUACGUGCCAGCAGCCGCGGUAAUACGUAGGGCGCAAGCGUUGUCCGGAAUUAUUGGGCGUAAAGAGCUCGUAGGCGGUUUGUCGCGUCUGGUGUGAAAACUCAAGGCUCAACCUUGAGCUUGCAUCGGGUACGGGCAGACUAGAGUGCGGUAGGGGUGACUGGAAUUCCUGGUGUAGCGGUGGAAUGCGCAGAUAUCAGGAGGAACACCGAUGGCGAAGGCAGGUCACUGGGCCGCAACUGACGCUGAGGAGCGAAAGCAUGGGGAGCGAACAGGAUUAGAUACCCUGGUAGUCCAUGCCGUAAACGUUGGGCACUAGGUGUGGGGCUCAUUCCACGAGUUCCGUGCCGCAGCAAACGCAUUAAGUGCCCCGCCUGGGGAGUACGGCCGCAAGGCUAAAACUCAAAGGAAUUGACGGGGGCCCGCACAAGCGGCGGAGCAUGCGGAUUAAUUCGAUGCAACGCGAAGAACCUUACCAAGGCUUGACAUACACCGGAAACUUCCAGAGAUGGUUGCCCCGCAAGGUCGGUGUACAGGUGGUGCAUGGUUGUCGUCAGCUCGUGUCGUGAGAUGUUGGGUUAAGUCCCGCAACGAGCGCAACCCUCGUCUUAUGUUGCCAGCACGUUAUGGUGGGGACUCAUAAGAGACUGCCGGGGUCAACUCGGAGGAAGGUGGGGAUGACGUCAAAUCAUCAUGCCCCUUAUGUCUUGGGCUUCACGCAUGCUACAAUGGCCGGUACAAAGGNNUGNGAUACCGCGAGGUGGAGCGAAUCCCAAAAAGCCGGUCUCAGUUCGGAUUGGGGUCUGCAACUCGACCCCAUGAAGUCGGAGUCGCUAGUAAUCGCAGAUCAGCAACGCUGCGGUGAAUACGUUCCCGGGCCUUGUACACACCGCCCGUCAAGUCACGAAAGUCGGUAACACCCGAAGC